GUCCACGCCGUAAACGAUGGAUACUAGCUGUUGGGGGCAACUUCAGUGGCUAAGCGAAAGUGAUAAGUAUCCCACCUGGGGAGUACGGGCGCAAGCCUGAAACUCAAAGGAAUUGACGGGGGCCCGCACAAGCGGUGGAGCAUGUGGUUUAAUUCGAUGAUACGCGAGGAACCUUACCAAGGCUUAAAUGUAGAUUGACAGGACUGGAAACAGUUUUUUCUUCGGACAAUUUACAAGGUGCUGCAUGGUUGUCGU
rnacentral:rRNA from 1 species